AGAAAACGCCACCAGAGAAUUACUGAAGGACUCCAAACACCAAAACGAAUUAUUUUCUCGGAGCAAGCGAUGACAGUCUUCAUUGGACUAGUGUAGUGAAUACACUGUAGUCUAGCCUUCUUAUCUGUGAUCAUUUCAGUAGUUUGCAAAUUCAGACUCCUCUAUAUCGAGUAGUGUUGCCCAGCAUUACAGUAUGGGUACUUCCAAAACAAGAGAUUAACUCAGUGUACGAACCAAAGAGUGUUGAAUGGUGUAUACUGUAAAAUAGAGACAACGUAGAUACAGGGAAGUUGCUGGAAAAUUAUGCUGGCUCUAGAUGUUUGAUUACAUACUGAAUACUUGUAAUCUGUGUAUAUAUUGUAUAUUUAAGCCAUACCAUCAAUAAAAUUUCCGUCCACAGU
rnacentral:misc_RNA from 1 species